rnacentral:misc_RNA from 1 species
UUUCCGUAGGUGAACCUGCGGAAGGAUCAUUAAAGAGUUUUAUGGUGUGAGGUUGUAGCCCUUAAGGUGCUUAAGGCAGCCUUAAGGCGUUAACACCCACAACCUAUGCGUAUGUUGUGUUUGACUGUGUAAUAAGUGACUAAGAGACAAUGAGACAACUUUUAACAAUGGAUCUCUUGGCUCUC